CCUACGGGGUGCAGCAGUGGGGAAUAUUGCACAAUGGGGGAAACCCUGAUGCAGCGACGCCGCGUGAGUGAAGAAGUAAUUCGUUAUGUAAAGCUCUAUCAGCAGGGAAGAAAAUGACGGUACCUGAGUAAGAAGCCCCGGCUAACUACGUGCCAGCAGCCGCGGUAAUACGUAGGGGGCAAGCGUUAUCCGGAUUUACUGGGUGUAAAGGGAGCGUAGACGGCAGUGCAAGUCUGGAGUGAAAGGCGGGGGCGCAACCACCGGACUGCUCUGGAAACUGGACGGCUGGAGUGCAGGAGGGGUAAGUGGAAUUCCUAGUGUAGCGGUGAAAUGCGUAGAUAUUAGGAGGAACACCAGUGGCGAAGGCGGCUUACUGGACUGUAACUGACGUUGAGGCUCGAAGGCGUGGGGAGCAAACAGGAUUAGAUACCCCAGUAGUC
rnacentral:rRNA from 1 species